UUGUUUUAAUUCCUUCACUGAGCUUUCCCACAGCUCCCCAGACCAAUGUAUGGGAAAGUUAUUUGACUUUCUCUUGAAGAUUUCUCUCUGACCAGAUUGUCAGCAUCCACAGAGUUUUGCAAACAGAAGCAUUGAAUGAAGGUGUUUGGAAGAAGUGGGAAGAUGCCUCCCCUGGGGCUCUAUAUCUGCUUCUGGUGCUCAGCUGGGCACCAGCUCUUCCCCAGCAUGUCUUGGAGUGGUGGCACAAGACCUCAGGGACUCUUCUGAUCCGGGGGUUAGAAACUGCAUCUAUGUUGGGCAGUAUUUGCUUCGCUUCAACUUCCUUUCCACUGUGGGAUUCUGUUCUGCUUUUCCCAUGCUGUUCAGAAGCAACUAGCAGUGAGAAUCAGCUCUGCCUGUGUUCCAUCAGAGACUGGGGCUGCAUUAUGGAUGUGCUGGCUCUCGGGGUGAUGUGCAGGUUUUUCAAAGCUUCGGUUGGGAAAUAAAAAAAUCAAAACCCCAGAGAAGAACAAUAGAAAGGAAACCCCCAAAAUCUCAGAGGUGGCUGCUGGGGAAAGUGUCCAAGAUGUUGGUGUUUGGAGCCCUGGCCAUCUUUCACUGAAUAUCUAAUAAAUGUGGAAAUCCAUUUGGAAAUGAAGAUGCCAUCUUAAUCUUCUUAGAACCUUGGAGAUUUCUGGUGUUGCAGUUACAGCCUGAGCACAGCCAGUGGGAAUUAGCUGCUUUGUCAAAGCCUUUUUCCAAGGCAAAUGCUCUGGACUGAUCCCUCCUGGGCUGGCUCCUGGCGAUGUCUCUUCUGUUGAUUAAUCACCAGGAGAUGAUAAAUGAAAAUAUCAGCUUGAGAAACGCCUGCCCUUUGCUCCCAGCAGUGGCAACAGUGCAUGGACUGGACGGAGUGAUGACCGUGAACUCUUCCUGCAACAAGCAGCAGCCCGACCAUCCUCUCCGAUUUCAAGAGCAAGAGAAAAAAACUGCCCCAAAACUUGCGUUAUUUCCCCCCUCUGAGAGAAAACUCCCAGAGACCCAAAAACAAAAGGUGAUGCCAGGUGCUACAAUCUCCUUUGGUCACUUCUUUGUUUUGGUCAAGCACUCACAAGUACCCAGUAGUUAGUCUCCUAGCAACUUAUGGGGAAAAAUUCUAUAAGUAAAAAAGAAACUAAUCUAACCCCCAACACUUCUGUUUGAUUCCCUCUGCAGAGCUGAGUCUCAAGUCAUUCUCCUGUACUCGGGAGCUUUGCCAGUGUUCAGCCCCACUCGCUGGGUGCCGGAGAAGAGAGGGGUGCUGCACCUUGGGCAGUGGUGAGGAGUGCUAUGAACAUCCUUCCUCCCUGAAGGCUGCAUCCCACCACCAGUGUGGCUCUAACUCCAGCACACUGCGUCUUAUCCUUUUCUGCUCUGCUUUGGGUUCUCUAGAGGUGGAGGGUGUGUGGAGGAGCUUUUGAGCCUCACCAACUGUGUCUGUGCACUUUUAAUUUUACAAAAGAUGGAAAAUCCUUCAGGUGACUGCAUGGUUAGCUAUACAGCCAGCUGCCCCCUGCAAAACCUGUGCCUCAUCCACAGUUAAGAGCUUGUUUGGAUCUGGAUAGGAUUUUAUCCCAUUAAAUAUUCUGCAACUUUGUGUUCUUUAGGAGGAGAGAAAACUUAUCAAACCCUUUGUAAAAAAAGAGAUCUCUAGGACUGGAGCAUAGAGAUUUUCCAAGGCUCUGGGAGACAUUUCUGAUGUGUGACUGAAACCAGUACAUACUUGGAAAAAAGUUCUAGGUCUGAAGUAUCUCAUUUUGGACAUUGAAAGUGAUUUGUCUGUGCGUUCUUGAUGUACAGCCCUACUGGCAUCUGCAGUGUCUUUAAGUGAUUUAUCUCUCUGAAGGCUUCACUGCUUCUGCUGUGUGAUCUGCUUCCAACAAACUCCAGAGAGUCAGUGAUUUGUCAGCUACUGCUUUUUAGGGUGAGAAAAAGGCUAAUGCUUUCUGGAUCUGUCAGCAUUCCUGUACAGCUCACAGAAUACAAUAUCCUGCCAAAAUGGGGAGGGAUGUCUGCUACCUGGCAAUCCAUCAUAUCUCCCAGUGCCCCAUAGCAAAUGCAUUUUUCUUUUUUCCAUCAGGCUAUGUGCGAGUACUGUUAUAUAGUGAAGAGCUUCUCCCUUCUCCUCCUCCACAAACGGUUAUGAAAACCUGAAAGAGCAACCUCUGCAGGGUGCAGAAUAAGAUGAGAAGGGUCAUUUUGACAGGGAGAAGAAAUCAUUGCCUGUGGCUCCUGGUUCCAGCAGGACCUACAAGAUUUAGAGUGAUGCAACUCUUCUGUAGGCAGCACAACAGGAGCACAGCAGGGAUGAGAAAUCCAGGCCAAACACACCCAUGUAGACUGCCAGGUAUGUGCCAAAAACACACAGGUGUGUCAACAGAUGCUCCAGGAUUUUCUUUUCUCCCUUGCCCCACAGUGAUUUCCUGUGUUAUAGGCAUGGCUCAGCUGACCUUGUCCCCAUGGAGCUCAUCCAUACCAUUCACAGAGUAAGUGAAACGUGUUUAUAACCUGGUAAACAUCUACUGGGGAGUAUGAAUCCCUCUCCUACAUCUCUCCUUGGUGUUUUAAUUGAUUCAGGGUUUUCCCAGUGAAGAACUUCAUAAGAGCAUUUGAUAAAAUCAGCUACACACGAUCCUGCCUCAUUACUCACAAGCUUGAGGCAGGUAGAUGAUUAAGUGAAUUUUUUACAGUGUGAGCAGUUGUAACAAGGGAAAUUAUCAUCCUGGAUAUGAGACAAUGACUUGGCUCUUACUACAUCUGCUGGCAGACAACUAACACAGUGACUUUCCAUCUGAUCUGGGAGCAAGUCUUCUGCUUUCUCCUCCACGACAAACCUGCUUUUGCUACCCUCACAUCAAAAGGACAAGCCAUAUGGAUGUGCCUGUGCUCAGGAAAAUAGCUUCAGAUCUUCAUGGGGCUAAUGCUGCAGUCCUGAUGGAAGUCAGAGAGUUUGCAAUUGUCACCUUGAGAAUGCUUCUGCAGACACUGCGAGGGGAGAGCAUCUUUUGGACUUGGGGCUGGAGGUGCUACAGAACAUGACAGUAUUGUUGGUACAUGGAUGGGAUGGGAUUCACCCCUUAUUUCCAUUUAACUGCAUCCUAGACUUUAUUACCCCAAUGUGGAUGCAUGGCUGGAAAAGCAGGGACAUGUGCACAGUCCUGCUUUUAGCCUAAAAGAUGAGUAGAAGCCAAAACGUCCUUGAACUGUUCUUUAGAUGGGGUAAGGAUGAAGUAAAGUUUGGAGCAAUAGCCAUAACAGGAUGCUGGACAGGAUGCGCUGACCAUAAGUUGGAGAAGGCUCACAGCAUCCAGCCGCGUGGACAGAGCUUCUAAGCCAAUUAUGUAUACUGCAAGGAUGCGUGAACACUAUGGUUUAACCAAUGAUGUUCAGAGUUAGGUGCAUGAUAUGCUUAGCACAGUAUAAAUGUGUGCCAAAUAGCUGAAUAAACGAGCAAGAUUUCUAACUCAUAUUGAGUGCUGUCUUGACUCCGGCUGAUCUCCGGCAACACCUCAAGAGAAGUCAGUAAUGCUGGAGUGAAAACUGGGGAAAAUGAGUUUCCAUUAGGGAAAGUUUUCAGUUAAAAUGUGAGUUCUUUUUCUUCCUGCCAGCAGACUUUGGGUACAACUCAGAAGAAUAACUGAAAGAAAGGGCUGCCACUUGGUUUUGUUCCAUGUUUCUAGAAGCUUUUACUUGCUUUUGACACACUGACGUCGAGAUUUUGGCAUGUCUUCAUUGAAGACCAAAAGCUGGGUAAUUGUAAAAGUCCUUUAUUGCAUCACUAAAAUCAGCCUCAUAAAAGCAAAGUUGUUACAGUCUGUGCCGGUAUGCAGGAAGCCUUCUAGCAUAAAGUCCCUACGUCCCAAGCAGAAGCAGCAGCAUCUUAUCAGUAGCAAUCCCAGCAGCAGCAACAACAGCGGCAUCCGUGAUUGGUGUUUCAUGUGUCGGCUAGCAUUCUCAAAGCAGUGCAUUUUAUUCUAUUUUUAACCAAUCAGUUACAAACACGAGUCUACUAUUGCCUUGUUGGACCUAUCUGAAUCUAAGAUUGAUGUGCAAAAGUAAUUGUAAUUUCUUACACAAAUUCUGUGUAUAUAACUCUAUCUGUUCUAUAUAGGAAUGCUAGCAAGGCUACAUUAUGCUUUGUUAUGACUAGAACUUAGUUAACUUUACAAAAGGUAAUGCUACUUGAACUUUAAACUAGGCUUUAGGGCUCCUCUUACUAAUACAGGCUCUUAUUUGUUUAAGGCACUUAAAAUAUUCUCUACUUAUUUAAAACUAAACUUGCAUUUCUACUUCAUAUCUGUGUGGAUUUAUGUAUUUUAGUUUCUCUGAAGGUUUUAAUUCAGCCCUCACAUCUUUGAACACCCCUGGGCCUGUGUGGAUGGGGCCCAGAGGGAUUUUGCAUCCCAACAACACAUCUCCUUGUUGAUAAAUAUACUUCAUCUUCACAGGGGGUCAUUGUCAAGAUAAUGUCAGAUCCCACUGUGAAGCCAGAUCCAGUAAAAAGCAGUAAUGUUGUUUCCUAAUUUGUUUGAAAUUCCAAAGUGUGGUGGUGUGUUUUUGUUAAGUUAUCCUUAAGUUAUUCUCCCGAUGGUUUGUUCCUGUUACCCCCUGAAAUGUUUGGUUUUACCCCAGGUUUUCCCCUCCCUUGUCCAGUUAUCAUUAACCCCCCAGACACACCUGUUACAUUAUUCUCCUAAUGUCAAUCCUCCCUUAUCCCUACCCCUUGUUCCAGAGAAAUCCCUGUCAGUCCUAAACUCCACCCUGGAAUUCCCCUUUUCCUCGACACCCCGUUGGCCCACGUGACUCUUUCCACCCCCCUUGCCUUCCCUGUAGGCUGUCAGACCGCGGGUCCCUCCUCACUCCUCUCCCUGUUGUAUCCCUGAUUGGUUGGAAAAUUGUAUCUUCCCCCUGUUCCUCCCCUGUUUAAAAAGACACUGUAAGUGCAGGAUAUUUGGCUUUUUGUGGCAACCUUUGGAGGGAAUAAACCUUUGAGAUGCCCCUGAGAGACCCUCUCUCUCCGUUCUUUGCGUCGAUCCAUGGUGCAGCAUGAUCAAUUGCCGUUUGAGAGCAGCCUAGCUGCUGUGGACCUCAGCAGCUUUGCUUUAACCGCCACCCGAGCCCGAAUCGAUGCGGGGGCGGCCCCACACGAUAUGUGCUGGGGGAGUCUGAGAUAGCUGGGGUUUCCCCGGCAUUUGCGUCAGUUGGUGCUCAACAAGGAGGCUGUAUGUAGCCUGUGGCAUGUCAGCGCUCCAGUCUGAGCUGCCUGCUUUUUGGUCGGUGCAGUCUGCUGGAGGGGGAAAGGCAGCCCUCCAUAGUACCGGAGGGUCUUUCCCAGGGUCGAGGACCUACUCUCAGCUUUUUCUUUCCAGCGCUGCUAGGAUCUGGUGAGCAGGAGGAGGCCGGUGCGUGGGCUUGGUUGGCACGGUUGGUGUGGGGCACGGCAUGUUCUGGUGGCACGCCGGGUCCAGCAAGUGCGGGUGGGCUUGCAGUGAGCGGCAGCUGUCCCAGCGGGUUGGCAGGGGCCAGCAAUCUGUGGUGCGAGGUUUCGGCGUGGUUUGAGGGCUCAGCAGGCACCAGCACGGCACGGGUGGCAGUGGCAGAAGCCAUCCCAUUGGUGGGAAGCCGGCACGGGCAGUGAGAAGCCAGCAGGGCUCGGCACGGACCCAUGCAGCUUGGCGGGCUUGGCGGGAAGCGGAGGGCUGUUUGUGUGGUCGCAGCUUGGCGGGAGUCGUCUGUAGUAAUGGGCUUUUGUUCAGUUUAAGUUAUGGUUUGCUCCUGUUACCCUCCGGUGUCUGGUUUGUCUUGGGUUUUACUCCAGGUUUUCCCCUCCCCUGUCCCUUUGUCCCUCUUUUCUGACCCUGCCCUGUAUUAACCCGAGCCAAUCACUUAUCUGUACCACCCCCUCUGCCCCCUGGUUAAAAGUCAAGUGUGGGACCUUGCCCACUCUCUCUCGCUUACCUUCUUUGAAGAAUAAACAUCUGAGAGAGCCUAUUCUAAUUCCUCGUUUCAAGCCUCGUCACUAUAAAGACCACCGCCGCAGAGACAGACUGUUCUGCACCAUCUCUCAGACUGCUGGCAUGCCGAGAGCAGUACUCCUGGCACUAGGGCUGGAGUUUUGAGCUAGCUGCGUCUCACCAGCCCUUCGGUGACAGUCGUCCCAGCAGAGCCACGGCGGGCGCGGAGCCAGUGUGCAGUGUGGAACGGCACAAGAAGCCGCCGGGGCGUGGGCACAUUGUACCAGAAUGCCGCGGCAUCCCAGGUGGUCGCUGGACCUCUUUUUGUGUUUGUUUUUUUUUCUAUUUAUGCUGCAAGUAAGGGCUGGACGAUGUCGUGUGGGCAGGAUGGGUGCUCAGAUCUCUGCGCAGCAAAGGGAGACAUUUGUCCAAGUUGCGGGAGCCCUUGCGGGUGGAGGGAUGAAGUUUUCUUGGGGUGUUUUAAAGUGGUUUGUGAGAUGGCUGUUUCUCCAUUUUCCACAAAUGUCCCCCGAAGAUGUUAGAACUGUGAUAUUUUGGCAUGCUGUGGGAACUGUUUUAACGAAUUUGACUCAGAAGGGGGAUUCUUGUGGAGAUAAGUUCUAUCCUUUGUGAAAAUUCAAUUGGCGGUCAGAGACCAGGAGAGAGAGAAAGAGAGAGGGAAUGUGGAGAAACAACCACUGCAGUUGUCCCCAGUUCUCCCCAAAGCCCCUCUACCCCAGCCCUUCUGUCCUAAUUCCUCUUCUCCUACCCUGCGCGGGUUGGAGAAAGCAACCCACGGAGAUAGAAAAGUGCAGAGCUGUAACUGGCUUCCUGGCUUUCUACAACCCUCUCAGGACCCUAGCUCUGGUAGCAUGGUGCCAGCUACCAGAGACCUUUCCCCAAACCCUCAAACCAACCCCUUUUCCCCAGUUGAUAAUUCCUCAGGUUGUUCCUUUGUUCCCAAACCCACAAAAUGGCCCCCGAAGGGCACAAGAUGGUGGAGGCCACAUGGCUUGGCCCCCCUCAGCAUAUGCUUCUUCUUCCCACAAUCCCUUUCUCCCUGUCUCAUCCCCUCCUACCAACCCCUUCCUGUCACCUAAUAGUCCCAUCCCCCGGGUACCUCCCCUUCCUUUGGGUCAGCCCCUUAGGCUCCUCCCCCUGUGUCAAUCAACCCGGCCUCUCCCUUUGCUCCACCCAUUGCUCCAUCCCAAUGACAUCACCGGGAAUCUCUGCCCCCUUUGGUAACUCUGCCUAGAUUUUCGCCCCUUGUUCAUGUAGCUCCACCCACCCUCUUCUGACUUCUGGUUCCCACAGUCCCACAUCCAGUUCUCACAGUCCGGAACCUGGAAGUGACUGGCCCGGGGACCUGAACCUGGAACAGGAGGCCAUUCCUUUUACUGCUCCUGUUACCUAUAAUGGCAGGGGUACUCACCCUAAAUGGGAAUCCUUCUCUUAUCAAAAUAAAAAGGAGCUUUGCAGAGCUCAGAAAGAAUUUGGUAGGAAAGGUGAAUUUUUUAAAGGCUUGUUAAAGUCCACCUUUUCCUCAAAUGUGCUGGUCCCUGGUGACCUCAAAGAUUUAUUUUCAUGCCUCCUUUCCCCCCGCAGAAUAUACUCUGUGGGAAAGGACAUGGAGGAAGUUACUCAAAGACCUCCUCCCUGAGUUUUUACAAAGCCCCUAAUGCACACUUGACACACAAAAUAAUCCUAUUACAGUUGAUCAUAUAAGUGGCAAAGGUGAGUGGUCUGAGGCACGCAAGCAGGCAGGGAGAAUCUCUUGGCCUGUUCUUGAUUGUGUGAAGGAUUCUGCUGAAAAGGCUUUUCAAACCAUGCCAACUAAAGAUCCUAGGCAAAGCUACAUUUCUACUAAACAAUCCUCUUCUGAGCCUGUUUUAUCGACAGGCUUCAUGCAGUGUGGAGAGUCAAAUAGAGAACCAGGAUCUGCAACAGAAAAUGAUCCCGGAGGUGGCUCAAAUCAAUACCAGUGAAGUCUGCAAGAGGAUCAUCUUGGGACUUCUUGUCAAUCCACCUCCAACCCUGGACCUCCUCAUUGAGACCUGCAUGAAGCGAGCCAUCAUGGACCCAGCAGAACAGCGGAAAGGGCCCAGGCUCAGAGGCUGGAUUGCAGCACCAGCCACCAUUCUAUCUCGACCACCAGUGGCUGGGAGGGUCAAAUGUUUCCUGUGUGGGCGGGAGGGACAUGUGAUGCGCUUUUGUCCCUUUAAGGAUAAAAUAUCACACACACAGGCGGGAGCAGUGGGAGAGGGGGAGAAGGGGAAUGUUUCAGCCCCCAAAAACUAGGGGGGGAGCGUGAGCCUGUCCCGCGUGACAAGACAAAUGGGACAGGUUGCCGGAUGGUCAGGGUUGUGGGGUAAUCAAAUUCUGGGAAAAUAUGGGACCCUGUAACAGUCGAUCCAAAGGUCCCUCAUCUGCCUCACGACUGUCAGAGGCUGAGACCCCCACAGACCCUCGGCCGCUGGCCUGACCUAGGCGGGAUCCAAGCUUCUCCCUGCAGCUGCUGCUAUUGGACCAAGACGCCCUCCUCAGAGACCCGUGCAUGAACAAUGGGGGGCUGUUACGGUUCCUGGGCCGUGUUUGCGGAGGGGUGUUUGCUGUUUCUUAACUGACCGUACCUGCUGUGAAGGCUCGGGCACACCGCCCCCUCUAUUGUGAGAGAACACCUGCAGUGCCUGAUAGUGGAGGGUUAAAAAAAAUUGUAUAAGUUAACCACGGGUAGUUGAGGGGGGAAAGGUAGAAGACGCACAAUCUGAAUUUGAUGUAGCCUGGCUUUGGAACAAACAUCAGCUUCUGCAACUAGCUGCAUACUAUUGUUUUAAGUAUGACUCCAGCCCAGGAGAUAAUUGAGAAGCAUUGUUUUAACCAAAUCAAGUAAAACCCAGGGUAAAGCGUAGGUAUGAUUUAAGAUAGUAACUAAGAAAUAGGAUAACCAGUAUCUAGGGGUGGAGGUUAGUGAACAUAUGUGUAAUUUGAAACUAUAAAAAUCACAGAUCGACUCUGUAUUCCUGGGCACAAGAUUUGGGCAUUGCAUGCCCCUGUGUCCCGCGCGCUCAAAUAAAGAACCGCAUAUGAUCGCCUUGGUGUGGUUAUAUGUUUUCCUACGCUAACAUGCCCAUGAGAUCUCUCCCCCUUCCUGGCAUGUUGCCCUUCGCCUCAAAAAAGAACUAUAAUAAUCACCCCCAGAGAGGAGACUCUCCGAGAUCUCCCUGACGGACAAGACAGAUCUAUUGGCGCGCGCUACGAGGACUGCGAAGGUGGCCUUGGUUUCCAGUGUCACGAGGACUCUCGUCUGUUUAGUCAGUAGCAAAAACUCCCCUUUUCCUCUUUUCUCUCUCUCUCUCUUUUCUUUCCCU